CUUUUUAAGCUUCCCUGAGUCCCUGUGAAAAUUUCUUGCCAAGUCAGAUUUUUGAUAAAGUUGAUAUUAAUUCUUGUUUUCAAAAUUUGUAUUGAUAUUAAUUACUUUUGAUAUUGAAAAAAAAAACAAUUAAGUUGUAAUAAUUUAUGGUCCACAGCAUGUUAAUUGGAAAAGAAUUGAUUGAUUGGUGUUUAACACAACUUUCAAUACUAUUGUGCUAUUUCCUGGCAGUCAGUUAUUAUUUGUGGAGGAAGCUUGAGUGUCUGGAGAGGUCCACCAAACUUUGGUAUGAAUACUGACAAUCCUAGUCAAAUAAGAUUGGAGUUGAGUGACCUGCCCAUUGGGGGAUUCAAAGUUACAACUUCAGUUUUGAUAGGCUAGUGAUACACUAGUUUGACUUAUUAGACCACUCAACUACUUAGGCCAAAUAAGGAAAAGAAUAAGCAAGAGUAAAGUCCUUCAUUUCUCAAAUCAUAAUUAUUGUUUGUAUCUAUUUAACAGUAACAUGAAUGCCAACUAUGGUCUUUCAGGGAUAUUGUCUAAGUAAUACUGCAAGAAUAGGUACCACACUCAUAUUUGAAAAUGUAUACUCAGAGAUGCAUAUAUAUCAGGUUAAAAUUCUUCAUAAAAUUUACUCCAUGCAUAUAUUUCUUGAUUAAUAUGAAUUUUAUGUCAUGUAUUUUUCAAGUUCUUGUGAUGCAAAUUUUAAGAUUACUAGUUGAAUUUUCAUUUAAUGAUUGACUAUGAAUUUUAAAGUUAUACCAUCAAAUUAAAUAUAUUUUAUAUUGGGGAAUGUAAGACAUCUUCGAUUUCAAGCACAGUGUUAAAAUUAAACCAAGUUUAGAGCUAGAAAUUUUGGGGGAUUUUUGUGUAUGUUGGAUAGGUUAAAUAUCUAGCCCUUUUUCAUAAAACUUUCGUAUUGGAUGUCAAAAGUUCCAGUUAACAUCAUGUGAAUGUUUAAUAAAUUGAAAAUUGUCACUUUUUAUUUUCAUGUAGAAAUCUUUGAAAUUCAAUAGUAAAUAUUAAAGACUAAUAUCAACUCCACAUAUAGCAUGUAGAUUGAAUAUAAUGGUCAGUUUCUAAUAAACAUAAAUCAGGUUAUUACUAGGGGAUCGUCUCCUUUGUUUAGAUGGGGAGAUGUAAUUUUUUUUAUAUUCUAAUGCUAUUAUAUAAAUGUUUUCUUGUCAACAAAUGUUGAAACAACUUGAUAUAUAGGAAGUGCAUUGAAAAAAAAUGUUUGCAAGUACUCUGUUUUUUUUUGUUCAGUUUAAUUGAUUUUUUCACACAAUAUUUGUAUGAAAUAUCCAGAAAUAAUUUUUUUGCCAAUUUGUUUUUUUUUUGUUUUUUUUUUAGGUUUCUAAAAACUAGCAUAUGGAGGAAUCUACAUUCAUUUUUCAAUAAUUUUGAUAUUUUGUAAAUUUUCUGUUGGAACAAUUUGCCAAUGAAAUUCAUCAGCAGACAUAUAUAUUGAUAAAGAUUGUACAGUUUAUAUGAUUGAGAUUAACUACAAGUCUUUAGAAACCUUUUUUGUCAGUCAUGUCAGUAUGGAGUAAUUAUGUAAUUUUCUUGUGAGGAUGAUAAAACACUAGUUAGUUUAGGAGAUUGAUUUAGCAUCAAUUUUCUAUAUCUAUAUAAGAGGAUUUUAUUGAUAUAAAACAGUAUACAUAUUUGUUUAUAUACAUGUAUUUCCAUUCCAAUAAUGUUGUUUGUGCGCUUUGUAAUUUUU
rnacentral:lncRNA from 1 species